UAGGGAAUCUUCCGCAAUGGACGAAAGUCUGACGGAGCAACGCCGCGUGAGCGAAGAAGGUCUUCGGAUCGUAAAGCUCUGUUGUCAGGGAAGAACAAGUACCGUUCGAUAAGGGCGGUACCUUGACGGUACCUGACGAGAAAGCCCCGGCUAACUACGUGCCAGCAGCCGCGGUAAUACGUAGGGGGCGAGCGUUGUCCGGAAUCAUUGGGCGUAAAGCGCGCGCAGGCGGUCCUUUAAGUCUGAUGUGAAAUCUUGCGGCUCAACCGUAAGCGGUCAUUGGAAACUGGGGGACUUGAGUGCAGGAGAGGAAAGCGGAAUUCCAUGUGUAGCGGUGAAAUGCGUAGAGAUAUGGAGGAACACCAGUGGCGAAGGCGGCUUUCUGGCCUGUAACUGACGCUGAGGCGCGAAAGCGUGGGGAGCAAACA
rnacentral:rRNA from 1 species